rnacentral:rRNA from 1 species
GACGAACCGUGCGAACGUUGUUCGGAUUCACUGGGCUUAAAGGGCGCGUAGGCGGGCCGCCAAGUCAGGGGUGAAAUCUUUCGGCUCAACCGGAAAAGUGCCCCUGAUACUGGCGGCCUCGAGGGAGGUAGGGGCGUGCGGAACUUCCGGUGGAGCGGUGAAAUGCGUAGAUAUCGGAAGGAACGCCGGUGGCGAAAGCGGCGCGCUGGACCUCUUCUGACGCUGAGGCGCGAAAGCCAGGGGAGCAAACGGG